CCAGAGAUGGCGGGCCCCCGCGCCCCCGUCCCCAACCCUUUGUCGACCUGACCACUUUUGCCUCGGGGGUGGAGCGGCCUCCGCCGCCCCCGGUGGACCAACCAACUCUGUCUCUUUGCGUCGGAGUCUUUGAUGAAUAUAUGA
rnacentral:misc_RNA from 1 species